AUUGAACGCUGGCGGCAGGCCUAACACAUGCAAGUCGAGCGGAUGAAGCGAGCUUGCUCCUGGAUUCAGCGGCGGACGGGUGAGUAAUGCCUAGGAAUCUGCCUGGUAGUGGGGGAUAACGUCCGGAAACGGGCGCUAAUACCGCAUACGUCCUGAGGGAGAAAGUGGGGGAUCUUCGGACCUCACGCCAUCAGAUGAGCCUAGGUCGGAUUAGCUAGUUGGUGGGGUAAAGGCCUACCAAGGCGACGAUCCGUAACUGGUCUGAGAGGAUGAUCAGUCACACUGGAACUGAGGCACGGUCCAGACUCCUACAGGAGGCAGCAGUGGGGAAUAUUGGGCGAUGGGCGAAAGCCUGAUCCAGCCAUGCCGCGUGUGUGAAGAAGGUCUUCGGAUUGUAAAGCACUUUAAGUUGGGAGGAAGGACAGUAAGUUAAUACCUUGCUGUUUUGACGUUACCAACAGAAUAAGCACCGGCUAACUUCGUG
rnacentral:rRNA from 1 species